rnacentral:rRNA from 1 species
UACGUAGGGGCCUAGCGUUGUCCGGAUUUAUUGGGCGUAAAGAGUGCGUAGGCGGUGCUCUAAGUCUGUUGUGAAAUCUCCCGGCUCAACUGGGAGGGUGCGGCGGAAACUAGAGUGCUAGAGUAUGGGAGAGGUAAGCGGAAUUCCUGGUGUAGCGGUGAAAUGCGUAGAUAUCAGGAGGAACACCUGUGGUGUAGGCAGCUUACUGGACCAUGACUGACGCUGAGGCACGAAAGCGUGGGUAGCAAACAGG